rnacentral:rRNA from 1 species
UACGAAGGGGGCUAGCGUUGCUCGGAAUCACUGGGCGUAAAGCGCACGUAGGCGGCUUUCUAAGUCAGGGGUGAAAUCCCGGAGCUCAACUCCGGAACUGCCCUUGAAACUGCAAUGCUAGAAUCUUGGAGAGGCGAGUGGAAUUCCGAGUGUAGAGGUGAAAUUCGUAGAUAUUCGGAAGAACACCAGUGGCGAAGGCGACUCGCUGGACAAGUAUUGACGCUGAGGUGCGAAAGCGUGGGGAGCAAACAGG